rnacentral:rRNA from 1 species
CCUACGGGGGGCAGCAGUGAGGAAUAUUGGUCAAUGGGCGCGAGCCUGAACCAGCCAAGUCGCGUGAGGGAAGACGGUCCUAUGGAUUGUAAACCUCUUUUGUCGGGGAGCAAAAGACGUCACGCGUGGCGUUCCGAGAGUACCCGAAGAAAAAGCAUCGGCUAACUCCGUGCCAGCAGCCGCGGUAAUACGGAGGAUGCGAGCGUUAUCCGGAUUUAUUGGGUUUAAAGGGUGCGCAGGCGGAAUUUCAAGGCAGCGGUAAAAUUGAGAGGCUCAACCUCGUCGAGCCGUUGAAACUGGUUGUCUUGAGUGAGCGAGAAGUAUGCGGAAGGCGUGGUGUAGCGGUGAAAUGCAUAGAUAUCACGCAGAACUCCGAUUGCGAAGGCAGCAUACCGGCGCUCAACUGACGCUCAUGCACGAAAGUGUGGGUAUCGAACAGGAUUAGAUACCCCUGUAGUC